rnacentral:rRNA from 1 species
GCUGGCGGCACGCCUAACACAUGCAAGUCGAACGAAGUAGCAAUACUUAGUGGCAGACGGGUGAGUAACAUGUAGGUAUCUGCCCUUUGGCCUGGAAUAACACGAGGAAACUUGUGCUAAUACCGGAUAAGUCUUUACGGAGAAAGCUUUAUGCACCAUUGGAUGAGCCUGCAAUUGAUUAGUUUGUUGGUGGGGUAAUGGCCUACCAAGACUGUGAUCAAUAGCUGAUUUGAGAGGAUGAUCAGCCACAUUGGGACUGAGACACGGCCCAAACUCCUACGGGAGGCAGCAGUGGGGAAUCUUGCACAAUGGAGGAAACUCUGAUGCAGCGAUGCCGCGUGAGUGAAGAAGGCCUUUGGGUUGUAAAGCUCUUUCGUCGGGGAAGAAAAUGACUGUACCCGAAUAAGAAGGUCCGGCUAACUUCGUGCCAGCAGCCGCGGUAAUACGAAGGGACCUAGCGUAGUUCGGAAUUACUGGGCUUAAAGAGUUCGUAGGUGGUUGAAAAAGUUGGUGGUGAAAUCCCAGAGCUUAACUCUGGAACUGCCAUCAAAACUUUUCAGCUAGAGUAUGAUAGAGGAAAGCAGAAUUUCUAGUGUAGAGGUGAAAUUCGUAGAUAUUAGAAAGAAUACCGAUUGCGAAGGCAGCUUUCUGGAUCAUAACUGACACUGAGGAACGAAAGCAUGGGUAGCGAAGAGGAUUAGAUACCCUCGUAGUCCAUGCCGUAAACGAUGUGUGUUAGACGUUGGAAAUUUAUUUUCAGUGUCGCAGCGAAAGCAAUAAACACACCGCCUGGGGAGUACGACC